rnacentral:lncRNA from 1 species
UCUUUUUUAGUCCCAAUUAGCUAAACAUAAAACUGAAAACAUCUAAAAAUCUAAGAUAAUUGGGCGACCAAAAAAACAAAAAUCCAAGAUAAUUGGCUAACAUAAGGUGUUCCCAUAGAAAAAGAACACUUGAUAAGGGGGCACGGAGAAAGAUUGUAUUCAAGUUGUUAGACUUGAGAAAGAAAGAUUUCGGAUCUAACCUGAAAAGAAGAAACCACAAAG